GAUGAACGCUGGCGGCGUGCCUAAUACAUGCAAGUCGUGCGGAAAGGCCACUUCGGUGGUACUCGAGCGGCGGACGGCAGAGUAACGCGUAGGAACAUACCCCAAACUGAGGGAUAACUGCUCGAAGAGUAGCUAAUACCGCAUGUGAUCUUCGGAUUAAAGCUUCGGCGGUUUGGGAAUGGCCUGCGUCCGAUUAGCUUGUUGGUGAGGUAAUAGCUCACCAAGGCGACGAUCGGUAGCUGGUCUGAGAGGAUGAUCAGCCUGACUGGAACUGAGAACGGUCCAGACUCCUACGGGAGGCAGCAGUAGGGAAUUUUCCACAAUGGGCGAAAGCCUGAUGGAGCAACGCCGCGUGCAGGAUGAAUGCCUUCGGGUUGUAAACUGCUUUAUUAGUGAAGAAUAUGACGGUAACUAAUGAAUAAGGGUCGGCUAACUACGUGCC
rnacentral:rRNA from 1 species